rnacentral:rRNA from 1 species
UACGUAGGUGGCGAGCGUUGUCCGGAUUUACUGGGCGUAAAGGGCGCGUAGGCGGCCACCGCAAGUCGACUGUGAAAUCUCCGGGCUUAACCCGGAAAGGUCAGCCGAUACUGCGGGGCUAGAGUGCAGAAGGGGCAACUGGAAUUCUCGGUGUAGCGGUGAAAUGCGUAGAUAUCGAGAGGAACACCUGCGGCGAAGGCGGGUUGCUGGGCUGACACUGACGCUGAUGCGCGAAAGCCAGGGGAGCGAACGGG